GCCGUUUUUAUAUUAGAGACGUCUGGACGCAUAAUCCAUCUUCGAUAUUAUUCGUCUAGCAUAAAGACGGGACGAAUAAUCCGACGAACUAUCACUCUAUCAGCAUUUAUUGUUUGUCUGGUUAUGCGUCCUCAGUAUAAAGACGGGCACAAGACGUAUGCGUCUAGACAAAUUAUCAUCGGUUGUGCGUCUCUUUACGACGAAGAAUCGAACAUAUAGUUCGUCUAGACGCAUAAUGCGUCUUGUGCCCGCGUCUUUAUACUGAGGACGCAUAACCGGACGAACAACAAAUGCUUGCCCAAGUUCGUCCAGACGCAUAAUGCGUCUCUAGUAUAAAAACGGCCA